AACGCAGGCAGCGCCUUGAGAUGUUACGCAAGUAACAUUUCAAGGCAUCCACGUAUGAGUGUCAGCCCAAUAUCUGUUUGGUUCAUGAGAAGACUUGGCGCGCUUACCAUGGCCAACUCGUGAAUAGACUCGUGUGUCUUGCGCGACAUAUCACUCGAAGCGAUAGCCGCCGUGUCUGGCCUCAUAUGUGGAAGGUUACCCGCUGGAUUUAA
rnacentral:misc_RNA from 1 species